AGUAACUGGAGGUGGUAUUUGAACGGGCGCUGGAGGUGGCGGUUGUACAGGUGGAUGCUGGGUGAGAACGAAGGGCACCCGCGGUGGCUGUGAUCGCAGGGACGGCUUGGAGAAUGUAGCGGGAGCUGAUGAAGUGGACAAGGCAUCAUCGUUCGUCUCUGAUAGCUGCUUGUAUAUCUGAUGUGCUUUGAAGCAGACUGAGACCGUUUGACAUCUGAGAGGAUCGUCGUGAAUGUGCAGCUGACCGGUGGACGAGGAUCUCUCUUGGGUCGGGCCGAUGACUCCCGCUGCUGACUAUCAGUUGUUGAUUCCAUAGUGUCGGGGGAACCCUAAUCCGGCUCGAAGGACCAUGUAAAGAUGUGGAUUAGUGGUUAGGGAUGGAGCACGAUGGACGAGUCCGGUUAGAGAAUCUUGCAUCAACUUUAUUCUCAACAGCAGUGAGUGUACAGGUUUCCAGGAGUGUAUGUUAGUGGGUUUGAGUGUGUACUUGUGUGGGUGUGUGUGGGUGUGUAUACAUGUGUGUAUAUGUGUGUGUGUAUGCGUGUGUUGUAUAUGUGUGUUUGUGUGGUCUAUACAGAAGGAAAACAAAGAGAAAUAAUGUAAUUAGAUUAUGACAGUCAAAUUACAUCAUCUAAUAAACAUAUGCAUAAACAGCUAUGUAGGGUAUCUCCACUACAAUAGCACAAUGCAAGCAAUAACAACUGAUAUACAGGGCAAUAAACUUUACUACUGCUACCACCCUUAAUGAACAUUCAAUAAGUGCGUUACUGCCGCUUUAAGACGUGCACUG